ensembl:lincRNA
GACAGGUUUUGCCUUUAAAUGCGACGAAUGACCUGAGUUCACACUCAGCUGAAAACAGCAGCCAGCGGAAGAACAAGCAGUUGGCUUUCGAGAACACAGACGCUGCCAACAAAUCUGUUGCUGAUAUGAAUCCUCAGGAGGCAGAAACCCAUCUCAUCUUCACUCCAACAACUGCAAGAACCUUCGCUGACUUAGCAAGGUUGUUUGAACCAGCUGUAGAUGCAACGAAAGCAGCAGCAUAACUAAGC